GACGAACGCUGGCGGCGUGCUUAACACAUGCAAGUCGAACGGAAAGGCCCUGCUUUUGUGGGGUGCUCGAGUGGCGAACGGGUGAGUAACACGUGAGUAACCUGCCCUUGACUUUGGGAUAACUUCAGGAAACUGGGGCUAAUACCGGAUAGGAGCUCCUGCUGCAUGGUGGGGGUUGGAAAGUUUCGGCGGUUGGGGAUGGACUCGCGGCUUAUAAGCUUGUUGGUGGGGUAGUGGCUUACCAAGGCUUUGACGGGUAGCCGGCCUGAGAGGGUGACCGGCCACAUUGGGACUGAGAUACGGCCCAGACUCCUACGGGAGGCAGCAGUGGGGAAUAUUGCACAAUGGGCGGAAGCCUGAUGCAGCAACGCCGCGUGCGGGAUGACGGCCUUCGGGUUGUAAACCGCUUUCGCCUGUGACGAAGCGUGAGUGACGGUAAUGGGUAAAGAAGCACCGGCUAACUACGUG
rnacentral:rRNA from 1 species